UAAUAAGUGUCUUAUGGCACUUUUUAAAUCCAUAUCCACCUUGUGUGCAAUGUCGGUCGAUCUUCUUUUUUUGAGGAUCGACCAAACAUCAACCUUUAUCUUUUAACUCUUUGUCUGAAAAAUAUUAUGAAUAAACAAUUCAAAAUA
rnacentral:misc_RNA from 1 species